AGCCUAAAGAAAAAAUAUUUUAGGUGAGCUCUGCCCAGUGAAUUUUUAACGGCCGCGGUAUCCUGACCGUGCAAAGGUAGCACAAUCACUUGCCCUCUAAUUAGGGGCUGGAAUGAACGAGUAAACGAGAAUUUCCCUGUCUCUCUAUUAAGUAUAAAAACUAGCCUACAGGUGAAGAGACCUGUAUACAUCUAAAAGACAAAAAGACCCCGUCGAGCUUUAAUAUAAAUAAGUAUAGAAAUAAAAUUCUUCCCGCAUAUUUUUGUUGGGGCGACAAAGGAAUAAAAAAAUCUUCCUAAAAUAAAAGAAAACUAUUCUAGCAAAAGAUCCUAAAAAAGAACAUAGAAAUAGCUACCGCAGGGAUAACAGACUUAUUUUUCCAAAGAGCCCAAAUCAACGGAAAAGUUUGGCACCUCGAUGUUGGCUUAGGAAUUCUUUCGGGCGCAAAAGCCCUAAAAGAGGGUGUGUUCACCCCUUAAUAU
rnacentral:rRNA from 1 species